UACGUAGGGGGCAAGCGUUGUCCGGAUUUACUGGGCGUAAGAGCGCGCAGGCGGUCGUUCAAGUCGCGUGUGAAAGCCCCCGGCUCAACCUGGGGAGGGUCACGCGAUACUGAUCGACUCGAAGGCAGGAGAGGUAGUGGAAUUCCCGGUGUAGUGGUGGAAAUGCGUAGAUAUCGGAGGAACACCAGUGGCGAAGGCGACUACCUGGCCUGUUCUGACGCUGACGGCGCGAAAG
rnacentral:rRNA from 1 species